rnacentral:tRNA from 1 species
GCCGCGGUAGCUCAGUGGUAGAGCGCAGCCCUGAAGAGGCUGGCGUCGAGUGUUCAAUUCACUCCCGCGGCACAA